AUUGAACGCUGGCGGCAGGCCUAACACAUGCAAGUCGAACGGUAACAGAAAGCAGCUUGCUGCUUUGCUGACGAGUGGCGGACGAGUGAGUAAUGUCUGGGAAACUGCCUGAUGGAGGGGGAUAACUACUGGAAACGGUAGCUAAUACCGCAUAACGUCGCAAGACCAAAGAGGGGGACCUUCGGGCCUCUUGCCAUCGGAUGUGCCCAGAUGGGAUUAGCUAGUAGGUGGGGUAACGGCUCACCUAGGCGACGAUCCCUAGCUGGUCUGGGAGGAUGACCAGCCACACUGGAACUGAGACACGGUCCAGACUCCUACGGGAGGCAGCAGUGGGGAAUAUUGCACAAUGGGCGCAAGCCUGAUGCAGCCAUGCCGCGUGUAUGAAGAAGGCCUUCGGGUUGUAAAGUACUUUCAGCGAGGAGGAAGGUGUUGUGGUUAAUAACCACAGCAAUUGAUGUUACUCGCAGAAGAAGCACCGGCUAACUCCGUGCCAGCCGCCGCCGUAA
rnacentral:rRNA from 1 species